GGGGAUGUGGCUCAGUUGGUAGAGUCCUUGCCUAACUUGUAGAAGGCUCUGGGUUCAAUCCCAGCAUUGUUG
rnacentral:tRNA from 1 species